UACGAAGGGGGCUAGCGUUACUCGGAUUGACUGGGCGUAAAGGGCGCGUAGGCGGCUUGUACAGUCAGACGUGAAAUUCCUGGGCUCAACCUGGGGGCUGCGUUUGAUACGUGCGGGCUUGAGUUCGGAAGAGGGUCGUGGAAUUCCCAGUGUAGAGGUGAAAUUCGUAGAUAUUAGGAAGAACACCAGUGGCGAAGGCGGCUCACUGGCUCGGUACUGACGCUGAGGCGCGAAAGCGUGGGGAGCAAACAGG
rnacentral:rRNA from 1 species